AGUCAUAUGCUUGUCUCAAAGAUUAAGCCAUGCAUGUCUCAGUACAAACCAAAUUAAGGUGAAACCGCGAAAGGCUCAUUAAAUCAGUUAUGGUUCCUUAGAUCGUACCCACAUUUACUUGGAUAACUGUGGUAAUUCUAGAGCUAAUACAUGCAAACAGAGCUCCGACCGGAGACGGAAGGAGCGCUUUUAUUAGAUCAAAACCAAUCGGCGGCGGGUUAACGCCCGUCGUCGUACACCUUGGUGAAUCUGAAUAACUUACUGCUGAUCGCACGGUCUAGCACCGGCGACGCAUCUUUCAAAUGUCUGCCUUAUCAACUGUCGAUGGUAGGCUCUGCGCCUACCAUGGUUGUAACGGGUAACGGGGAAUCAGGGUUCGAUUCCGGAGAGGGAGCCUGAGAAACGGCUACCACAUCCAAGGAAGGCAGCAGGCGCGCAAAUUACCCACUCCCGGCACGGGGAGGUAGUGACGAAAAAUAACGAUACGGGACUCAUCCGAGGCCCCGUAAUCGGAAUGAGUACACUCUAAAUCCUUUAACGAGGAUCAAUUGGAGGGCAAGUCUGGUGCCAGCAGCCGCGGUAAUUCCAGCUCCAAUAGCGUAU
rnacentral:rRNA from 1 species